GAUAAACAUAUUUCUACCACAAUUUUUAUACGUUUUUUGAGAGAAUUUGGUAUUAUUCCUCAUUUUUUUGAUACAAAAAUCGCAAUACAUAUUUUAAAUUCAUUUAUGCAAAAUACAAAAUCAUUAAAUUAUAAAAAUUUUACACAUGCUGUCAUUUUAUCUAUCUGUGAAUGUGUUAAAAAAAAAUAUAUUAACACAAUUAAAUUUGUUAAAAAUGAAUAAAAAAAAUAAAUUUUAAAUUACAAGCAGAUAAAAUACUUAAUUAUGAUUAUAUUGCUUAUGAAGCGAAGGAGUUGAUUUACUUGUUUGGCUUAGCAGAUAUGCAAAUAGUUAAGUCGAAGAUAAACGCUUGAACUGUAUGUAUAUGUCACUAAUAUAUAUAUAUAUAUAUAUAUAUAUAUUAGUAACCUAUGCCUUACUUCACCCUUAUAAAACUUAAAUGAUUUUUUUUUUUUUUUUUUUAAGUUUUUUUUUUGUUUUCCCACUGGAUUUUAUUUGUCAUGUAUGUUUUUGUACGCUUUUUCAUUUGCCCAUUUGUUUGUUUAUAUAUAUUUAUAUAUGUUUUUUUUUUUUUUUUUUUUUUUUACUACAUACUCUACAAUUUACCUUUUUAUUUGUGUCUGUUUGUACGUACCUCUUUCUCUUAUUUUAACUCUUUUUUUACAAAACAUGAACACUUUGAAACUAUUAUGACGCGAAACAAAAACAAAGCAAAGGCUUACCAAUAAAAAAAAAAAAAAAAAUUUAAUCAUAUAUACAUAUACAUGUAUAUACAUAUAUGUACAUAUAUGUACAAUAUUCGAACGGUAUAAUGGACCUAGUAAAACUCGUAACUAUAACUAAACAAAACAACAAAAGGCUUUUAAACACUUCGACAUACUUUAACGAUUUGUUUGAGUUCUUAUCGAGAUUAACUACUGUUCCUGUUUUUAGAACGUAUUAUCUUCCAAAAGUUGAAACAAAUUAUGAAAUUUUAAAAAAGCAUAUCAACAACAUUUUAAUAAAUAGAGUCAGUGACAAUUUUAAAAAAUUCUUUGAGUCUAUAUCUGUUGUGUUUUGGAAAGGAAGAAAAUGGAAAGGUACAUAUUGGCCCAGCAAAUGGAAAUGGUACCAUAGACACGGUUAUUGGGCAACUAGAAAAAAAACUUAUUAGUUUUGACAAAUAUAGGCCAUAUAGGUAAAAUUUGAAUAUAAUUAAUUAAAAUGAGUAAAAAAAAAAGGGGAACUUAAAAAAAAAUAGUUGUAUGAUAAAACAUAUUGUGUUAAGAUAUUUAAUAUAUUUGUAUCAGUUUGUCCACUUAAUUUUGUCCAUUUAAUUUUGUCCAUUUAAUUU
ensembl:lncRNA